rnacentral:rRNA from 1 species
AUUGAACGCUGGCGGCAUGCUUUACACAUGCAAGUCGAACGGUAACAGGCCGCAAGGUGCUGACGAGUGGCGAACGGGUGCGUAAUGCGUCGGAACGUGCCCAGUCGUGGGGGAUAACUACUCGAAAGAGUAGCUAAUACCGCAUACGAUCUAUGGAUGAAAGCGGGGGACCGUAAGGCCUCGCGCGAUUGGAGCGGCCGAUGUCAGAUUAGGUAGUUGGUGGGGUAAAGGCUCACCAAGCCAACGAUCUGUAGCUGGUCUGAGAGGACGACCAGCCACACUGGGACUGAGACACGGCCCAGACUCCUACGGGAGGCAGCAGUGGGGAAUUUUGGACAAUGGGCGCAAGCCUGAUCCAGCAAUGCCGCGUGCAGGAAGAAGGCCUUCGGGUUGUAAACUGCUUUUGUACGGAACGAAACGGCUCUGGUUAAUACCCGGGGCUAAUGACGGUACCGUAAGAAUAAGCACCGGCUAACUACGU